GCGCGCCCCGGCCCCACUCGCAGGGCGCUCCGUGCCGCGGUGCUCAGCCUCGCGCCCGCCCGCCCGCCGGCCGGCGAGCCCCGCACGCGGCCAAGAUCUGUGGCCACUGUUCCCAUGGUUCAGAGGCGCCAUGAGGCUCACUGACUCUUGGAGGCUUUGGCUCUGGGCCGCAACGUUCCUGCUUCCUGUUUCCGCUUCCGUGAUGAGCAGGGACAAGCCAGAAAAGCAAUGUCCUAUACUGAGAACAGAGGGACGCCAGUUUACACAAGACAACAGAGAUAAACCUGAAGUUUCAGGU